ensembl:lncRNA
GCUCUGUUACAUUCUGAUGAUGUAUUCAAAAGAUGGGCUUUAGGAUAAUCUCCUAAAUCACUGUAGCGAUGUAUCUUAGACUUUUCAACAAGUAUCAGGAUCGGUGUCACUUUUGAAAGGAGGAAUUUUAUAAGGUUACAAUUAUAUAAGGAAACUUGAAAAAAAUUUCCAGUUCAUCUGUCAGAAGAUGACUUUCAUGUACUUAAGUAGUGCAUUAAAGUUUUGUACUAUAUCAUGCAUUGGUCUGAGUACUGCUUUUUUAAAAAUAAUUUUACUUAUUUAUUAGCUUUUUGAUGUAUUGGCUGUGCUGGGUCUUUGUUGCUGUGUGGGCUUUUCUCUAGUUGCAGCAAGCAGGGGCUACUCUGUAAUUUUGAUGUGUGGCUUCUCUUGCUGCUGAGUACAGGCUCUAGGGUGCACAGGUUUCAGAAGUUUCAGAGCAAAGGCUCAGUAGUUGCAGUUCCUGGGCUCCAGAGGACAGGCUCAAUAGUUGUAGCGCACAGGCUUAGUUGUUCCGUGGCACGUGGAAUCUUCCCUGAUCAAGGAUUGAACCUGUGUCUCCUGCAUUAAGAGGCAGAUUCUUUACCACUGAGCCACCCAAGGAAGUUCUGAGUACUGCUUUUAAUAGAGUAUUUUCUUUUUUACUGUAAGCCAGAUGAAAGCAAAUGGGGAAACAUCUAGGCUACAGAAACGUCAGUCUCACUUAUACACACUUUCAUGUCAUCUUAAAGGAUUGUACGGCUGUCUCCAGAGAAGGUGAUAAAACUGAGAAAAAGAAGUUAAAAAUCUUGCCCAAAUUUGCACAGCUAACAAAUUGUUGAUAUUGGCUUGAACUUGAGUGGUCUGACCCCUGAGUCUGCACUCCUGACCACAAUUCUGGACUUCCUCCUACUUUGCCAACAUAGAAUAUAGAAAGAUCAUGUGAACAUUAUGUUGAAUUUCCCUCUCUGGCUCCACUUUUCAUCCUUUUCCAUCCAGCCUUGUAAAGUGGGAAGAUUAUGGAAUGGACUAUAUUAACAGGUUCCUUGAUCCUCCAGCUACUGGCUGGGUUUUGUCAACAGGGAAUGCUUUGCAGAAGACUGAAGGGAGGGAGAUGGUGAUGGCACAGGGUUUAUUUCUCUCCCUGCUGAGAGGCUAAGGGCUGUGUCAUUCUGAAGAAGGAUUCUGUUCCUUUCACGGGGGCUUCUAUGAGAUGCUUUCCUUCCAUUUUCCGGUAACCAUCUCAUCUCUUUGGGCCUAGGGAUGGCUAACAACUGUGCCAUCUUGUGAUUCUCCUAUCCAACCACAGUUAAAUUGCCCCUUUGUAAAUCAGCUCUCUCAAACAUCCCAUUUUAAGUGUCCUAGUUAGAAUCCAAACUGAUGCAAGGUGUGAUCUCUGUUUUUAAAAAGCUGACAUAGAGUACUUGGGGCAUAUACCUCAGGAACAGGAAAGCUGAAGACUGUAUAAAAAGAGAUCAUCUGUAGGAGUAAGGUUGAUGGUUACAAACUAAGGUGUUUUAAGUUGCAUAUUCCUGGCCACCUGCAUCUUAUUCUCCAUUCUUAUUUUCCUCUUUAGCUGUAGAGAUGUCUGUAAAGCAUGCUGCAUGGCGAUCAAGAUGCGCUCUGAAGUUUUGCAAUCUCCGUGUCAGAAGUAAUUAUAGCAAAGUAAUUCUCACACUGGUUUUCAGAGCAAUUUACAGAGCUUGUGACACGCAUGGACAUUGAAUCAUAGAGCAUUUUAUAGACAACUCUUUAUUUGGAACAGAUUCACGAGGUCAUUAGAUAGGACCUCUCUAGAAACAGAAACACAAAAUAGAAGCUGAGACAGACUUGAGUCAGAAUGUUUUAUGGACUUAUCUUCUGCUCAAGAUAACAUAAAGCUAUAAUAAUACAGUUCCUUCCCUGCUUUCUCAGUCCUCUAAUGUUGAGACCUUUCUCAUUAACUACUGAACUCUUACAAGUCUGAGCAGAACAGAUGUUUGAGGACUUGCAACUUCUGAGACGUCAAUAGCCAAACACCACAAGUCAUGACCUGGUCACUCUUCCACUCCCUUGAGGCAUCUGCCUUUUUCUGUUGUACCCAACAGAUUGACGGUGAUAAUAUACAAAAGUUUUAUCUCUCCCUCCCUCUCUCUCUCUCUCCAUAUAUAUAUAUAUAUAUAUUUUUUUUUUUUUCUUCGAAAUUUGAGGCAAGGACACAGCCUUUAAUUCUCUGCUCUAACAGCUGAGUUCUGACUCACAUAGGAAAGGGUUGGAGGAGGAGGUGGAGAGUAAGAGAUUCUAGAAAGUCACUUGCACAAAUAAGGAAAAAGCCAUCAGAUCAUCUCUUAAAGCUAAUGCUGCAUCUGCUAGUUCUGUCUAUAGUUGCUUCUUAACUAUAUUCAGAUCUGUGCUUUCUAUAAAAUGCAAAUAAAUUCUGUAAUAC